rnacentral:lncRNA from 1 species
GGUUCAUAAUGUUAAAAUUCCAUAUCAAAUUCAAAUUUCAAUGUUCAUAUACAAGGUCGUUCAUUCAAUAACCAAUACAUUUCAUUCAAAAUAUCAAUAUCAUUCAUUAUACAAUCAUACAAAUGUCCAUUCCAUGAGAAAAAUACAAAAAAAAAUGAACUUUGCCCAAAUGUUGACUUUGGUCAGCUUUGACCAAAGUCAACCCAAUCCUAAAAGAAAAACCUAAAAUCCCUAUCCCUAAUCCUAACCCUAAUCUUCCAUUUUCAUGUUGAUUCUUGAUUGACCAAUUGCACAUGUUGCUUCAAAUUCCAACCUUAAUGCCAUUUGCAUUGUCCAUCCAUCAUGCAUUAAGCCUCCAUGGAACCAUGACAUGCAUAUGCUGCAAAAGGAUAUACAUGACAUGAAGCAAGUCAACAUGCAUAGCACAAACCACAAGUCAGAAUCAUGAGCUAAGUGAAGCAUAUGCAAGACUACAUACCAUGAAACUAAGGCCAUUCCACAAGUAAGCAAGCCAAGUCAGAAACCACAAAUCUAUAAACAAUACCCAAGACAAUGAGUUUACACUGCAGCAUCAAAGUAAAUCAACAUAAACACAAGCCAAUCCCAUUACAUAACCAACAUGGCCUACUGCAAUCAAUCAGAAUCAUGAGCAGAGUCAGAAUUGAAUUGAUUGUACCACCUGCAAAAUUAGCACAAUCCAAUGCACUUCAAAACAGUCCAAGCUUCAUAACCAUGUCCAAGCCAAGCAGGGCAGACAUAUGAUACACUUCAAUUAACCUGCAUAAUCCAUAGUUUGAAAAUCAUUAUCAUUGAAACUUCUCUAAACAAGCAGCAAAACUUAGAAUUCACAAAACCACCUAACUUCCAUUCUAACUGUUUGCAGCCUCUAACCACCUAACUAACUUUAUAACUGUUUUCACUAUCCAAUUAACUUAGCUAUUUUCCAACAAUCUAACAAACUCAAAACUGACAUAACCAAUUGAAAUAGAAUGCAAGCUUCAAAUUGAAACAGGAUGGGAAGCAAAGUCCAACAAAAUUUUGGAAGGGAAUAACAUAUUAACAGAAAUCCUAACAGAAUUUGAGAAACUUCUAACCAAAUUUGGGAAAGCAAAACAAAAAUCAUCACCUAUAUAAUCAGAGUGCACUCACCAUCUCGAGGCUCCUCUCAUUUUUUUUCCCAAACUAAAAUCUCAGAUCCUGAACUCAUUUUUCUCAUUCUCACAAUCAGCCUUCAAUUGAAAAAUCUCAUAGCUCCAAGAAACUCAUUCAUCAUGUUGAACUCACCAACCUCAAUCCAAAAAAGCUUCACUUCUCUAAACCAACCUCAGGGCUUCGAAUUCAUCUUCUUCAUUCAUUCAACACUUGUUUCUCUUGGAUUUUUCCAAUGACUCCACCCUCCCUAACCUUUAAACACAACCUCUAAUUUCACCUCACUUCAACUUCAUCAUUUCGACAAAUUCAAAACCUAACGCAUCAUCAUCUCAAUCCACUCUUCACACGCAACCUCGCUCAAUCAAACGUGAAUCAGAGUUCACUCCUCACAUAAAGACGAAUUCGAAACAAUAUUCUGCCAAACUCAGUAGAACAAUGACAAUAAGUAGUCUACACCUUCCAUUUGCAUUUAUGAUUGUGUACGCAUUGACCAUUUCUAUGUGUGUUUUGAUUCUUUGCUUAUUCAUCUACAUGUGGCCUCAUCAAUACCCCAUUAUCCAUUUGCAACAUCG